AGUGAACGCUGGCGGUAGGCCUAACACAUGCAAGUCGAACGGCAGCACAGAGGAGCUUGCUCCUUGGGUGGCGAGUGGCGGACGGGUGAGGAAUACAUCGGAAUCUACUCUGUCGUGGGGGAUAACGUAGGGAAACUUACGCUAAUACCGCAUACGACCUACGGGUGAAAGCAGGGGAUCUUCGGACCUUGCGCGAUUGAAUGAGCCGAUGUCGGAUUAGCUAGUUGGCGGGGGAAAGGCCCACCAAGGCGACGAUCCGUAGCUGGUAUGAGAGGAUGAUCAGCCACACUGGAACUGAGACACGGUCCAGACUCCUACGGGAGGCAGCAGUGGGGAAUAUUGGACAAUGGGCGCAAGCCUGAUCCAGCCAUACCGCGUGGGUGAAGAAGGCCUUCGGGUUGUAAAGCCCUUUUGUUGGGAAAGAAAUCCAUCUGGUUAAUACCCGGAUGGGAUGACGGUACCCAAAGAAUAAGCACCGGCUAACUUCGUGCCAGCCGCCGCCGUAA
rnacentral:rRNA from 1 species